rnacentral:lncRNA from 1 species
GGAAAAGCAAGAUAAGGGUAGGCUAAACAGAUGUAGCCUUGACUUGUCUGAGUAAUUUCAGUAGGCUCUGGAGCACAGGGGCUGCCACUUGUUUUCUGAGACCUGGUUUUGGGAUGAGCAGGACAGAGGAAUAUUACCUCCAGGAGUGUAAGAGCCAUAUAGAGGAGGUGGUUGGGAGUGUGGGCUCCGGAUCUGUGAGCCAUGUACAGGAAAGGUGUACCCCUGGCAAGUCCUUUGCUGUCUCAGGGAAUUAGCUAGCCCUGCGAGGAUUAUCUUCUCCCUGGUCAGUGAGUCUCCAGAUGCAUCAAAAAAAUACAGAAAAUAAGGAAUAUAGUUAACAUACCAACAUUCCUACUUCUUUUUUUCUUUUUCUUUUCUUUCUUUCUUUCUUUUUUUUUUUUUUUUUUUUUAGAGAGAGAGAGAAAGAGAGAGAGGGCAUGAGUAGGGGAAGGGGCAGAGACAGAGACAGAAAGAAAUUUCAAGCAGACUCUGCUGAGCACAGAGCCCGACACAGGGCUCAAUCACAACCCAAGCUGAAAUCAAGAGUGGGAAGCUCGGCCAACUGAGCCAUCCAACUGCCCCCGCCCCAAGUUUCUCCUUCUGACUCCUCCCUCAUAGCCCCCCACUGCCUCAGACCUCAUACCUCAUUCCAGCAUCUUCCUUUCUUGAUCUGAAGCAAACUUCUGCUUCUGACACCUGCUCCAGCUGAUAUUCUCUGGCAGGUGGGGAUCCUGGGUUUCCUUCUUGACUGCCCCUGUGCAUCAGCACCAAGAGAAUGGGGCCAGAGAGUGGUGAGAGGGAGAGAUGCCUCAGGAAGCCUCCCCUGGAAGGAAGAACUGAUCCUGCCUCAAAGCCCCCCCUCACCACCCAGGCCAGAGACAAAACACAUACCGUAGAAGAGGCAUCCAGAAUGGAAACAACUGUCCAAGCCACCGCAGGAAGCUUACACCCCACGUUCCCAGGCAGAAGUGUGGAUGUUUCCAAACCUAACAGUCUUGGUCCUGUGUUCCAGACCUCUAAAUACCAGAAUUCUAAAGCAAACAAGAGCUCACCCCAUGCAGGCAAUACCCUCCUAAGAACACACUGGCAUGCGCUUUUUUGGAAGUAGAAGGUACUCUGAGGAAGUAAAGGUCAGUGGCGAAGAAC